rnacentral:tRNA from 1 species
UCCUGGGUGGUGCAAAGAGUUAAUGUGUUAGGCUACUGACCAAAAGGUUGGUGGUUCGAGUCCACCCACAGGCC